rnacentral:lncRNA from 12 species
UAGUGAUCGGGCUAAUAUCUUUAAGCUAAAAAGCAAGGCUUAAUUGGAACAGAUGCUGCAAAUUCCAGUGCAAAAGGCCAGCUCCUAUGUGAUCUAAACCAGCGUCUAUUCUACUCCGACACCAUCUGGAUGUGCAUUUGUGAGCUCACCUCUGCCCCACCUCACCACCUCCAGACCAGCUCAGCUCCUACGGAGGGCAGGCAGCAGGUGGAUAGGGUGCAGGGACCCCAGCCUCGUCCGCACUGAACCAUUUCCACGAUGUCCGCUGAGGGUCUGUGACUGGGGGGAGUGGACAGGGAAGGCCAUCUGCAUUUUGCUCCUGUCGUGGCGAGUGCAUGGGAACCACAGCCAGUGUGGCCGACUGUGUCUCCUGUCCCCGGUGACCACCAAGCUCCCGCUCCUCGAGGGUUUGGCCGCUUCUGGCUCACCAAGCUGGCGGAUAUCUUGGGAACUCGGUGAUAAGACCCGAGCGGGUAACGGUUACCUCCUGGCUGUCGUGAGAAUCACUCAGGAGCAGGGUGGACGUUUCAAGUCUCUGCUGGCUGAGUCCAGCGCCCCUCUCUUGGGAGUCUGGGCAGUCGGCAGGGGCACGGGGAGAAGGGGCCGGUUUCUAUUCUUAGGUUGAAUUCCCUUUUGGAAAGCUCCAGGCAUGUCUCUGGCACAGAUGCCCGGGGCGCAGAGCUCCCUGGCUCACGUUCCCUUCCUCAUGGGUCUCCUUCGUCCCAGGUCCAAGGGCCAGAGCUGCACUCUCGUGCCUCAGCGUGAGUGUUUCUCUGUGUUUACGGCUCCCGCGUGGAAAAUACUGAGCACGCGCACACCCAUUGCCACGGAGCUUAUGGCGUGAGGCUGGUGACUGUGAGCGUCGCAACUGCAAACACAGGCUGGCCACACCUGAAUUUCAGAUAACUAAGAAAAAUGUGCAGUGCGGACCUGUUGUCAGGGGGUCAGUGAGCCCACAUAUAUCCAGCCAGGGAGAGCUUCAGAAAUGCACGCACACGCCCUGACCAACUGGCCAUGUCAGGGGCACUGCUGUCAGGCGAGGCCCUGGAACCCAUGGAAUAUGAGCAGAGGUGACACAUGUCCCUGCCAUGUGGACAGAAGGCACGCGGACAGCAAGGAGGCCCCCCAGUGCCUGGGUCCCCGAGGGUCCAUGUGGA